UUGAUAUAUUACACUUAACUCUGAGCACGAGUAUAUUAAAUGCGAUGAUCAAAUCUGUAUUUCCCCAGUAACAGUAUAGCAAACAUAAACAGUGAUUUCCCAGACUGGCAACAACUGGGAGAUACUCUGUGAAGUAAGCCUAAAACAGCGGUUUUCUAUCGAAAGCUUAUCAUUAAUUGACUUAAUGGUUCGCUCAAUGAUGGGGCCUAGGAAAACACAGUUAUCCCUUUUUUCCAUUUUCCUCCCAUGCAGCUGUUGCGUGGUGAAGGAAAUGGACUGCGCCACCUUAGACAUAAAGUUGGUACAACAGCAUAACCACUGCCACAAAUAUUGGAUUUGCUACUUUCAAUGGUCAUUGGCACAUUACAGCAUAGGUCUACAACCAAUAAUGUGGUUUAUUGGUAUUAUAUAACUAUAUAUACUUUAGUUUCAAUAUUAUGUGUAUUUCUAUUUCAAUUGAGUAUUAUUACAUUCCCUAAAAGUCAGUGUCUUUAUUUAGUUAGAUGUGUGUUAGGAUGUUAGCAUUUAUUUAAACAUAUCAUAUUUUACAGAUGUAAACAUAGCCACAGACAGACACACAGACGCACGCACACAAACACAACACAACAUACAGCAGGCUGUGCUGUGGUCACCACCUUAAGCCUCUCUUUAUUACGUUGGCACGUGGCAUGUCUUUCUGAUCAAUAUUAUUACUAUUAUUAUUAUUAUUAUUAUUAUUACAGCCUCACGCUUUGCUACAUAUCCCAGUGAGACAGGAAGUAAGAGCUAUUAAGAAAUGCAGACAGGAAGUGAGCUUAGUCCUCCACACGCACCAACAUGCACACACAAAGAUGUACAUUAGGGCUAAAGCAUUUGACCUGAAUGAGAUGGGGCGGCAAAUGUAUAAAGUGUAGCCUAGUAUUAUGUCGAAAGUAAACUGGAGACAUAAUCUGGAAUCGUAGCCUACAUGGAACAAUGAAAGAUUGUCAAACUGCUUUUUUUGGGCAAAGCUAAUUUUAAUUUUGGAAAACUUCUGAGGGCAACAAAAAUCAACCCCUGGGGUUUAGAUUUUUAAUUGAGAAGGUUGAGUGAAAGCUAGAUAUGGAUUGAGUUAUUUCAUAAUACAGCUUAAUGAAUGCUUAUUGUAAGAGUAAAGUACACACACAUUAUUGGUUUAUUGUAAAAAUAUGGAUAGCUGCCGUUAAUUAAUUAGUUAAUAGGGAGUUAAUUGGCCAUGUUUUAUUUAAAUUGUAGCCAAAACCUUCUCCUGCUAGUUUUUACCUUUUUAUCAGUGAACAAUUCCAGUUCCCCUAAUGUUGUGGUCAUCUGGCCAGUCACAUGGAGGGACAAAGAGAAGAACUUCCACUCUUUCAACAAAUAGAAGUGGAAACAAGUUGGGACUUUCCUAUUGGAACAGGUCAGAGAAAGUACCUUGACUCACACUGUGAAAAAACAACAUACUUUGAUGGCUUCCUGGUGUCUGCCCAGCACAGAGACUAUACACAGUCUGGUCUAGCGGAGGGGAAACUCAGCCAAUGUGGCAUACCUCUUGUCCGGCUGUGUUGAAUAAAAUAGCACUCAAUAUCUGGAACUUUUCAGGAAAAGUCUUUAAGAUUUAAAAACAUUGAGGAUGACUCAUCUUCACUACAUGUGCGCUUGCAACUUUCUCAAAUUUCCAUGCCUUUUACGGUAAAUGUGUGUGUGCUGGUAACAGGGCAAGAACGCUGAGCUGGUAAACCAGCAGGUCCACAGCCUCAUUGGCAGACAGCGUCUCUUAAUGGAAGAGCUCCUGAGAGUGAAGAGAAAGCAAGUUGUUGCUGUUCUGUGACAAAGUUCUUCUCCUUCUACCCUUAUCCUCUUUAUUGUGGCCUGUGGAUAAAAAACACCAGAGAAAGAAAAUGUGGGUGUGGUUUAGUGCUGAUCUGUAACCAAAGAGCAUUAUUUUGAGGAAUUGUUGAUAAUACCAAGAUGAAAGUUGUUUUAACAGUUGAUCUAGGGAGUCUUGUUGAGAAUUUCUGAGAGAAACAGGUUUAAGAAAGAUGCGAUGGCCUUGGGUACUGGCAUUCGUCAUUAUAGGUAUUAUCAGGCCUAAAAAAUUAGAUAUAAUUGGAUAUGAUUAGCAUUUGGCAUA